GACGAACGCUGGCGGCGUGCUUAACACAUGCAAGUCGAACGGAAAGGCCUCUUUCGGGGGGUACUCGAGUGGCGAACGGGUGAGUAACACGUGAGUAACCUGCCCUUGACUUUGGGAUAACUUCAGGAAACUGGGGCUAAUACCGGAUAGGAGCUCCUGCUGCAUGGUGGGGGUUGGAAAGUUUCGGCGGUUGGGGAUGGACUCGCGGCGUAUCAGCUUGUUGGUGGGGUAGUGGCUUACCAAGGCUUUGACGGGUAGCCGGCCUGAGAGGGUGACCGGCCGCAUUGGGACUGAGAUACGGCCGAGACUGCUACGGGAGGCAGCAGUGGGGAAUAUUGCACAAUGGGUGGAAGCCUGAUGCAGCAACGCCGUGUGCGGGAUGACGGCCUUCGUGUUGUAAACCGCUUUCGCUCAUGACGAAGCUUUGUGUGACGGUAGUGGGUAAAGAAGCACCGGCUAACUACGUG
rnacentral:rRNA from 1 species